rnacentral:rRNA from 1 species
GGCCUACCAAGGCGACGACGGGUAGCCGGCCUGAGAGGGUGACCGGCCACACUGGGACUGAGACACGGCCCAGACUCCUACGGGAGGCAGCAGUGGGGAAUAUUGCACAAUGGGCGGAAGCCUGAUGCAGCGACGCCGCGUGAGGGAUGACGGCCUUCGGGUUGUAAACCUCUUUCAGUAGGGAAGAAGCGUAAGUGACGGUACCUGCAGAAGAAGCGCCGGCUAACUACGUGCCAGCAGCCGCGGUAAUACGUAGGGCGCAAGCGUUAUCCGGAAUUAUUGGGCGUAAAGAGCUCGUAGGCGGUUUGUCGCGUCUGCCGUGAAAGUCCGGGGCUCAACUCCGGAUCUGCGGUGGGUACGGGCAGACUAGAGUGAUGUAGGGGAGACUGGAAUUCCUGGUGUAGCGGUGAAAUGCGCAGAUAUCAGGAGGAACACCGAUGGCGAAGGCAGGUCUCUGGGCAUUAACUGACGCUGAGGAGCGAAAGCAUGGGGAGCGAACAGGAUUAGAUACCCUGGUAGUCCAUGCCGUAAACGUUGGGCACUAGGUGUGGGGGACAUUCCACGUUUUCCGCGCCGUAGCUAACGCAUUAAGUGCCCCGCCUGGGGAGUACGGCCGCAAGGCUAAAACUCAAAGGAAUUGACGGGGGCCCGCACAAGCGGCGGAGCAUGCGGAUUAAUUCGAUGCAACGCGAAGAACCUUACCAAGGCUUGACAUGAACCGGAAAGGCCUGGAAACAGGUCCCCCACUUGUGGUCGGUUUACAGGUGGUGCAUGGUUGUCGUCAGCUCGUGUCGUGAGAUGUUGGGUUAAGUCCCGCAACGAGCGCAACCCUCGUUCUAUGUUGCCAGCACGUGAUGGUGGGGACUCAUAGGAGACUGCCGGGGUCAACUCGGAGGAAGGUGGGGACGACGUCAAAUCAUC